UACGUAGGGACCGAGCGUUGUCCGGAUUCAUUGGGCGUAAAGAGCUCGUAGGCGGCUGUUCAAGUCGAACGUGAAAACUCGGAGCUCAACUCCGAGCCUGCGUUCGAUACUGGACGGCUAGAGUCUGGUAGGGGGAUCUGGAAUUCCUGGUGUAGCGGUGGAAUGCGCAGAUAUCAGGAGGAACACCGGUGGCGAAGGCGGGAUCCUGGGCCGAUACUGACGCUGAGGAGCGAAAGCCAGGGGAGCAAACGGG
rnacentral:rRNA from 1 species